UUGAGUUGGGUUCUUCAAUACUAUCUCUUCUUUAAGGAAUCUUUCAUCAACUGUAAAGUGUCUUAAUGACUUCUUCUUCUUCCAAAACUUCUCAAACAAAACAUCAUGUUUUCCUUAGUUUUAGAGGUAAGAAUACACGCCAAAAUUUUUUAAGCCAUCUUUAUGCAACUUUGUGUUCAAAGAAAAUUGAAGCAUUUAUUGAUAAUGAUCUUCACCGAGGAGAUGAAAUUUCAGAAGCUCUUUUGACUGUGAUCGAAGAAUCAAAGAUUUCAGUUAUCAUCAUCUCAAAAGGAUGUAAGGAAUCAAAUCGGAACGUUUGGGGAAGCGUUUAUGAAGCAUGAAGAACGAUUUUAGCAGGACUCGGAGAAGGUUUUGAGAUGGAAGAGUGCUUUGACAGAAGCGGCUAAUCUCUCUGGCUUUGAUUCAAAAAAUACCAGGGAAUUGAAGCAAUUGAAUGCAUUCCCUUGGAUAUUUCUAAAAUAAAAGAGAUAAAUUUGAAGUACGAUGCUUUCUUGAAGAUUCAAAACCUCAUAUUCUUGGACUUUUAUUACCCAGCCGAGGAAGACCAUGGAGACUUCUGGUACUUUUAUUGCAGAUGUUGCUUAGAUAAAUAUGAGUGGCGUGGCGGUUUUAGCUGUCAAUAUUGCUCGCUGGACGAAGAGAAUGAGAAUAAGGUUCAUGCUUUGCAGGGCCUAGAAUUUAGUUCAUCUGACAUAAGGUAUUUUCACUAGUUUGGAUAUCCUUUGGUUCCAUUGCCGUCAAAUUUUGAGUUACAAAAUCUCGUUGCGCUUAUCAUGCCUGGUAGCCAAAUUAAACAACUCUGGAAUGGUCUCCAGGUACAAAUAUUUAUCUUGAUAUUCUCUUUUUGUAGAAAAUGAUGAAGCUAAUCAUAUAAUUUAUGUUACUUCCUCAUCUCAAUUUAUUGUUUGUAGCAUUUAGAGAAGUUAAAGCAUAUUAACCUUAUCCGCUCCAAGCACCUAAUUAGAAUUCUAUAUCUCUCAAUGAUCCCAAACCUUAAGAGUUUGAUUCUAGAAGGUUGUAUAAGUUUGAUUGAGGUUCAUUCGACAAUUCAAUAUCUAAAAAAGUUGAAUAUGUUGAAUCUUAAAGGUUGCAAAAGCCUUAGAAUUCUUCCUUUGGACAUUCAAUCAAAAUUUCUUUCAUAUCUUAUUCUCUUUGGUUGCUCAAGUCUCGAGACUGCUCCAACAAUCACAUGUAACAUGACUGAAGUAUUUUUAGAUGGAACAUCUAUAACAAAAUUGUCUUGGAUCGAAUGCCCAUCAAUACUAGAGUUCUUGGAUCUUGAAAACUGUUCAAGGCUUGAAAGUCUCCCAAGCGACAUUUGUGAGUUUGAAGACUCUUUGGUACCUUAAUCUCAAGCGUCGCUCAAACAUCUAGAGAUUCCCCAACAACUUAGUACAAUUAGAAGGUUUGAAUGCACUCCUAGCUAAUUAUAUUGGCACAAGAGAAAUAUCAUAUUCCAUAUUAUCUUUGAACAAUCUUAUGGCGUUACAAUUAAACAGAUAUAGUUGUCAACAUCUGAUGGAUUUAGGAUGGCUUUUUCUAUCAUUUUUGAGUCGUAUACAGUAUUUAAAUUUAUGUUAUUGUGAAAUCACGAGGUUACCCGACGGUCUUGGCCAUAUCUUCACUAUAUUAUUUAAAUCUAGGUGGAAACAAUUUUGAAUGGAUACCAUCAGGCAUCCAAGAACUUUCCAAUUUGUUGACUCUGGACAUAAGCUAUUGUGACAGGCUUAAAUCCUUACCAAAGCUUCCAUCAAAGGUUCGAUUUCUUCAAGCAUACAAUUGUACAUUAUUGGAGUUAUGUUCUGAACUCAACAUUAGUGUCAGUGACGAAACUCAACUUGGGGAAUUGUUCCAAACUGAAAAAUGCUCAGAAUAUACUCGAGGCCAUGGAGGAAAAGAAAUUUGUCUGUGAAGAAAUUUUCUUUUUACCUGGACAUGAAAUUCCAGAGUGGUUGAGCUUCCAAAAUGUGGGAUCUUUUAUAUCUCUUGAGCUAUCACUUGCUUAUCAAGAAAAUGAUCUCCCCCUAGGCUUUAUUGUGUGUCUUGUUGUAACAUUUCCAGAUG